rnacentral:tRNA from 1 species
CAAGAAGUAGUUUAAUUAAAAUAUCAGCUUUGG